rnacentral:misc_RNA from 1 species
AUUUUCUCCGCAAAAGUUUGUUUAGAGCAGAUUUGCCAAGAUAGGAAACGGUCUUAAAGAAACACUUAUAGAAGGACAGACAGUUCGAGAGCAGUGCCUGUAAAGAGGAAGCAAUCCAGGUUGUGACGAAGAACUGUGUUUACAAGUUCAAGGUACUGUACGAUAUUUCACAGGAUUAUCUAAAAUGGAGUCUGUGCUUGAAAUUACCCGUGACAAAACUAGUCGUUUUCUGCAGUAUAUGAAUGAUCGGAUAAAUGACCCUGUUCAACAAAGACGCUUGAUCCUUAUCAUUGUAUGCAUUGCGCUGCUCCUGGAUAACAUGCUCUACAUGGUUAUCGUGCCCAUCAUCCCUAUUUAUUUAGAUAAAUACUUCGAUUCAGAGGAGCCAAAGACAGGAAGUGAUGUUAUAAAUGGUUCAGUGUUUUACAACUAUACUCAUUCGUUGAACACUACUCUCUCUAACAUAACAACAACGCUACCUACCACAACGAAGAGUCCAUUUGCUUAUGCAGAGGGCGGGGGUGCUAUCGGUGUCCUUUUUGCGUCGAAAGCCAUAGUACAAUUUUUCAUCAAUCCGUUUACUGGGGCGUUAAUUGACAGGGUUGGAUAUGACCGACCUUUAAUGAUUGGAUUAUCAGUCAUGUUUUUCUCUACGAUUGUUUUUGCUUUCGGUGAAAGUUACGCUGUUCUCUUUGCGGCCAGAAGUUUACAAGGGGUGGGCUCUGCGUUUGCCGACACCUCAGGUCUAGCCAUGAUUGCAGAUAGAUUUCGAGACGACUCCGAACGUACAAAAGCUCUUGGAAUAGCCCAGGCAUUUAUAUCAUUCGGUUGUCUGGUUGCACCACCUUUUGGUGGAGUACUUUUUGAAUUCGCUGGAAAAGUGGUUCCUUUCAUAUUUCUGUCAUGUUUGUGUUUGAUAGAUGGCAUCCUUCUUUUAUUUGUCAUGAAACCUGUCAGGAAAGAACGAGAAAUAUCACAAAAAGAAGGUCUAAAAGGCACUCCAAUUUACAAACUACUGAUAGAUCCUUAUAUCGCCGUAGCUGCAGGGGCUCUUGCAAUGUCGAAUGUGGCUCUUGCUUUCUUAGAACCAACCAUUGCCUUAUGGAUGCAAGGCACAAUGGAUGCUGCUGAAUGGGAAAUAGGCUUUGUAUGGCUUCCCGCUUUCUUGCCUUAUAUAGGGGGCGUAUACCUAACAGUAAAGUUGUCAAAAAACUAUCCGAAAUAUCAAUGGCUCAUAACUGUUGUAGGGUUGGUACUAGAAGGAACCUGCUGUCUGGCUAUCCCUUUUGCCAAGCAAUUUUUUGUGGUCUUAUUUCCAAUAAUGGGUUUGUGUUUAGGUGUGGCGCUUGUUGAUACAGCAAUUUUGCCAACACUAGGAUAUCUUGUUGAUCUAAGAUAUGUAUCAAUCUACGGAAGUGUUUAUGCUAUUGCUGACAUAUCUUAUUCCGUGGCUUAUGCACUUGGUCCCGUUAUGGCCGGUCAAAUUGUACAGGCUAUCGGCUUUGUGUGGCUUAAUGUUGCAAUUUUUCUGAGUAAUAUACUUUACGCACCGUUGCUGUUAUGUCUUCGUACAAUAUAUUUGUAUAAACCUGUCGAGAAUGAGCAAGAUGUUCUGAUUGACGACCCACCGUCAAAACAGUACAACACCUACAUACAAAAUGGCGGCUUAUAUAACGGAGACUUGAAAGAAAUUGGAAAUGCAACUGGUCAGAAUCAUUUAAAGUGGGAAACUUUUGACGAUAACGACACGACUCGAAGUUUACAAAAAAGCAGAGCUGGACAGCUAUGAGCCAAAAGAGAACGACCCUUCUUUUUCUUUUUAUUGCAAACGUUAAUUGUUGUAUCACACGCAUCGUUAGUCCUGGAAUUUCCUGACUUUUUAUGAAUUAGAUAAAUCAAAGAUUGUUGCUGUACAUUUAGACAUUGUAAUACAUUUAUUAACUGUGGUGCGUCAUUUGUAAAACACGUGAUUAGUUUUUAGUUAUUAAAGGUUUAAGAUGG